rnacentral:rRNA from 1 species
AGCGAAUAGAUACCCCGGUAGUCCACGCCGUAAACUAUGGAUGCUAGCUGUUACGAGUAUCGACCCUCGUAGUAGCGAAAGCUAACGCGUUAAGCAUCCCACCUGUGGAGUACGGUCGCAAGACUAAAACAUAAAGGAAUUGACGGGGACCCGCACAAGCGGUGGAGCGUGUUGUUUAAUUCGAUGAUAAGCGAAGAACCUUACCCAGGCUUGACAUCCUUGGAAGCACUGCGAAAGCAGAGUGUGCCUUCGGGAACCAAGUGACAGGUGAUGCAUGGCCGUCGUCAGCUCGUGUCGUGAGAUGUUUGGUUAAGUCCAUCAACGAGCGCAACCCUUGUGGCUGGUUGAAUUUUUCUAGUCAGACUGCCCUGGUAACAGGGAGGAAGGAGGGGAUGAUGUCAGGUCAGUAUCUCCCUUACGUCUGGGGCUACAAACACGCUACAAUGGCCGGUACAAAGGGCAGCCAAGUCGCAAGACGGAGCAAAUCCCAUCAAAGCCGGUCCCAGUUCGGAUUGGAGGCUGAAACUCGCCUCC